rnacentral:rRNA from 1 species
UACGUAGGGGGCGAGCGUUGUCCGGAUUUAUUGGGCGUAAAGAGCUCGUAGGCGGUUCGGUAAGUCGGAUGUGAAAUCUCCACGCUCAACGUGGAGGGGCCACCUGAUACUGCUGUGACUCGAGUCCGGUAGGGGAGUGUGGAAUUCCCGGUGUAGCGGUGAAAUGCGCAGAUAUCGGGAGGAACACCAGUAGCGAAGGCGGCACUCUGGGCCGUGACUGACGCUGAGGAGCGAAAGCGUGGGUAGCAAACAGG